AGAAAGAGAGGUAGAGAGAAAGAGAGAGGUAGAGAGAAAGAGAGAGGUAGAGAGAAAGAGAGAGGUAGAGAGAAAGAGAGAGGUAGAGAGAAAGAGAGAGGUAGAGAGAAAGAGAGAGGUAGAGAGAAAGAGAGAGGUAGAGAGAAAGAGAGAGGUAGAGAGAAAGAGAGAGGUAGAGGUAGAAAGAGAGGUAGAGAGUGAGAGGUAGAAAGAGAGGUAGAGAGAGAGAGGGGUAGAUAGAAAGAGAGAGAGAGAAUGAGAGAGGUAGAGAGAAGGCUCAUCCUGUAAUAUACAAGGUCUGAGGUCAUCUGCCUUUGGCCUAAAGAGCAGGAACCUGGACUUCACCAAAGAAAUCGGAAAUACAGACAUUGUCAUCCUAUAAGAAACAUGGUAUGGAGGAGAUGGACCCACUGGUUGCCCUCUAGGUUACAGCGAGCUGGUCCCAUCCACCAAACUACCAGGUGGGUGGUAUAGAGGAGAUGGACCCACUGGUUGCCCUCUAGGUUACAGAGAGCUGGUAGUCCAAUCCACCAAACUACCAGGUGGGUGGUAUAGAGGAGAUGGACCCACUGGUUGCCCUCUAGGUUACAGAGAGCUGGUCCCAUCCACCAAACUACCAGGUGGGUGGUAUAGAGGAGAUGGACCCACUGGUUGCCCUCUAGGUUACAGAGAGCUGGUCCCAUCCACCAAACUACCAGGUGGGUGGUAUAGAGGAGAUGGACCCACUGGUUGUCCUCUAGGUUACAGAGAGCUGGUAGUCCCAUCCACCACACUACCAGGUGGGUGGUAUAGAGGAAAUGGACCCACUGG